CCAAGGAGGAGGAGCCAGAGGAAGACACAAGCUCUGAUGAACCCCUCGUCCCCUCCCUCCAAUCUCUGACGACAGCAGGAGCGGGAAGGGGGGAGUUUUAAGCUGUACCUGGCUAGCACGAAUGUAGGCAUUUGCAGAGGCAAACCUAACGGCGCCCGGGGGACAUGUCUUGAUUAGCAGACUUCAGAAUCAGAAGACUCAGAGCAGGAAGACUCGCCUGCUAGUGAGCCACAGCAGCAAGAUUUGGCAGAGAAACCAGACUUGGGACCUGAGGAUUCUCAACAGCUGCCAGACUUGAAUUCUGAUGUGGAAGAGCCUGGGAUUCCACCUAUAGUGAGACAAAGUAUCAAGAGGCAGAUUCAGAGGGACCCACGCAGGUGCAGGAGAUAACAAAGCCAAACUGCUGACUCAGGGAAGCCUGAUUGGUUCCUGGAUCUGUUGAGCCUUAUAUAUUCAACAGUCUCUCAUGGCUGAGUUGCUGUUUGCAACUUCGCUGGCAGCAGAUACUGUGCUCUUGGAAUUAUAUCUUUUCCGUGUU